rnacentral:misc_RNA from 1 species
GUUUUAAAAUGUCAUCUUAGGUUUUUCUUCCGUCUCCAGCUCUAUACACCAAUGCGCCCCGCCCGCCUCCCUCCGCCCUCUGUGAUAAUCCGACUCUUUCCUCCGUCGCACGGAAAAAGGUGGCGGGCAGAUGGGAGGCGGGUGAAACACUCUGCUUUUUGGUACCCUCUGCGCUGAUAUAUCGUAAUGGGAGGUGCUAGCUCGUGUAUGUAUGUGCGGACGCGCAUGCGUGCGUGUCUCUUUCCAGGACACCUCGAUUGAUGGCAACGUCUUCUGCUUUCAUAUUUUCUUCCGUAUAUCCCUAUUACCAACGCUGCUGCUGCUGCUGCGCCUGCUACGAGCACCUUCUCAUGACCUCGUUUUGCUCUUUUCGGCGUCCCUGUUCUGGGGUUUGUUUCCGCUUCGUCUCCUCAUCGAGUCACUCCGCGCGCACGCUCUCGCCCUCGCUGGGUGGCACAUCGGACACUUUAUCAUCGUCUUCAUUUCUUUUUCUGCUUUGUCUUUCCUGAAACCCCCUCGCUCGCUGUCGCUCCCUGUGUGCGUGGGCAGUACGCGCCGCGACCCACCUCUCCGCUCUCUCGCGAGAGAGCGGGGGCGAAGGUCUUUGCUCCCUGUUAACAAGACACAUAAAAUGAGAAGACUUGUUGUUCGCGCUGUGUGCGUGUGUGUGUGUGUGCGUCCGCGUUUAGUAGGUGGGCUUGUGCUCGCGCUUGACAUAUUGCCCAUUGCUUAUUUUUGGGCUUGACUGUGGCGUACGACGUAACGGUAAGCAAAGGAAGUGCAGACGGAACACACGACAGUGACGAACUUCGUAUGCGCGUGUGCUGUGAUCAGGAGGGAGUGGGGGGGGAGGGCAGCAUGACGCAAAGCAGUUGCAACUCUUGUAUAGCGCUGCCCCGGUCGAUCCGGGGGAUGUUUACGAGAUGGGGUUUACUUGCAACUGGUGGUGGUUGCUCAACGGCUUUUUUUCUUUUUGCCCUCUGCACUCUGAGGCCGGUGCGCUGACCGUUCACGUUUGAGCAGUGCCUCGUUCUAUCUUUAUGCGCGUGAGUGUGUUUCGUCAAGAGCGCUCAUACUCCUCCUUCUCAUUUUUCUCUUCUCCCUUCUCUCGUGGCUUAACCAUCCGGCCUCAUCACGGACUCAUUCCGUGAGCCGCACUGCCAUCCUCGCCUACAUACUGGUGCAAAG